CCUACGGGGGGCUGCAGUGAGGAAUAUUGGUCAAUGGGCGCGAGACUGAACCAGCCAAGUCGCGUGAGGGAAGACGGUCCUAUGGAUUGUAAACCUCUUUUGUCGGGGAACAAAAGACGCCACGCGUGGCCUUCCGAGAGUACCCGAAGAAAAAGCAUCGGCUAACUCCGUGCCAGCAGCCGCGGUAAUACGGAGGAUGCGAGCGUUAUCCGGAUUUAUUGGGUUUAAAGGGUGCGCAGGCGGAAGAUCAAGUCAGCGGUAAAAUUGAGGGGCUCAACCUCUUCGAGCCGUUGAAACUGGUUUUCUUGAGUGAGCGAGAAGUAUGCGGAAUGCGUGGUGUAGCGGUGAAAUGCAUAGAUAUCACGCAGAACUCCGAUUGUGAAGGCAGCAUACCGGCGCUAAACUGACGCUCAUGCACGAAAGUGUGGGUAUCGAACAGGAUUAGAUACCCGGGUAGUC
rnacentral:rRNA from 1 species